rnacentral:ncRNA from 1 species
AAGAGGGGAUGCUCACAGCAUUCCUUUAGUGAUUUCGAUCGCAACACUGUCAAACUGCGGGGAGUUCCUAAAGCUCAGACUACCGCCUCGGCGCUGAAAAGCCCCAAAGGCACCAAGGUUAGCAGCCUUGGGUACGGUAACAACGUCUGCAGAUGCUACAAUGGAUGAUCCGCAGCCAAGCUCUAAGGACCUCUGGGUUUACGAGCGGGGUUCAACGACUAGACGGCAGUGGACCUGGAAACGGGUUUAAGAUAUAGUCUGCACCAGGGAAAAAGCCCUAG